AUAUAUGGUGGUCAUGCGCAGGGCCUCCUUGGGGGCGCCGGUUCCAGUACUCCGGUCUACCAACCUGUGUAUGGCCACCACCUUC
rnacentral:antisense_RNA from 1 species